rnacentral:rRNA from 1 species
UGGGGAAUUUUGGACAAUGGGCGCAAGCCUGAUCCAGCCAUGCCGCGUGAGUGAAGAAGGCCUUCGGGUUGUAAAGCUCUUUCGGCCGGGAAGAAAUCGCAUUGGUUAAUACCUGGUGUGGAUGACGGUACCGGAAUAAGAAGCACCGGCUAACUACGUGCCAGCAGCCGCGGUAAUACGUAGGGUGCGAGCGUUAAUCGGAAUUACUGGGCGUAAAGCGUGCGCAGGCGGUUUUGUAAGACAGGCGUGAAAUCCCCGGGCUCAACCUGGGAACUGCGCUUGUGACUGCAAGGCUAGAGUACGGCAGAGGGGGGUGGAAUUCCACGUGUAGCAGUGAAAUGCGUAGAGAUGUGGAGGAACACCAAUGGCGAAGGCAGCCCCCUGGGUCGAUACUGACGCUCAUGCACGAAAGCGUGGGUAGCAAACA